GCCAGUGGAACCACCUACUUUUCCGAUAACAACCAAAGCAAUUGCUGUGACUAUUAGAUCAUGCUCAAUACAGCGACUGACACAUCAACAGUGCUCAACUUGUUUGUCCCUCGAGAGACAUGCAUCUGCUUCUAAAGACACACUUGGCUGAAAACCUGCAAGACCUUACAGAACUUUAGUGAUUUUACCACACCUUUUUUCACACUUAUCUACUUUUUCACUUGUUCACACCCUCUCUGAUGAGAAAUAAGCAGUGGCAGAAAGAAAAUAUGUAUAUAUUUUUUUUUAAUCAUGUCCUUUCAUCCCUGAAGGAUAUUGUUUUGUUUUGCAAUUCUGGCAACGAAAAAAAAAGUGAGAUGGCGAGUAUACUAGCAAGGAGAGGUGUGUGAGCAAGUGUGUGUUUGUGUGUAUGUGUGUGCGAGGUAGCCUAGAGUUCAUUUAUGAAGUAUGCAGACGCAGCGGUAUAACCUUUUAAUUGCAGGGAUGAGAUUCUGAGGAAAUUCAAGGUGCACACAAGAUGCUAUUUAUUAGGGUAAGUUUCGACUCAAAAAGGGAAAGUCUGUCUCAGAGAGGGCAACGGCCUCAGCCGAACCCUUUUAUUUUGCCAUCUGUAGACCUUUAAACCUUAGUGUUAUCAAUGUACCCCACUUUCUCGAAAGAAAUUAAUACUCUACUGAUGGCCUCUGUGGCACUAUUGGACUGUCAGAGCAAAUCAUUGAAUUUGUUGACUACAAAACUUUCCCAGAACUUCCCUGAAGCUCCACCCACUGCAAGUUGUAACGUUGCAAAGGAAUAGUCCCAGCCCACUUUUUCUUCUCAACAACACUUUUUCCAUUCAAAGAGUAAAAACCGUCUGGUCUUGCCACACUUUUAUGGUUAACCAUAUGUUUCAUGUGUAUUACAACAAUAUCUGAAUGUUAUCCCUUAUCAUUUAUUGUACAUUUGUUGUUUUUUUGUUUGUUUAAAAAUUAUUUUGUACUUUUUUAUGCAUAUAAUCGAAAUUAUGGAAAUGUCAUUGAGCCAUUUUUGUCCACUUUUAAUUUGCUGAUUUCCCUCUUGCUUUCUGUUUGCGUUAACACUUAUAUGGAAGAAUUCUUCAAUCGUGUUGCGUGCCAUGAGAAUCACAGCAGCCAGCAUAUCCUGCCUCCAGAAGAAAGGUAAAAUCAAGUGUCUUCUAAAGACAGAACAGACUAGUUAUCAGGAAGGAUUCCAAACAAAAGUAAAUGUUUGUUGAGAGAAAAUUCGAAUUUUUUUAAUGGCCGCAGUGAAAGUCUUUAUUCGUCUGUAGUUUCAUUCUUGGUCAAUCAGGAAAUACAGCAGCAGCCAAAAGUUUAGAACAAGCGCAGUGUAGAGAAUGUGCUCAAAACUGUGAUGUCAUUCGUAAAAUUAGUUUUGCGUAAAUUUUGCGCAUUAAAUUGAAUGCGAUUUCCAUGUAAAUUCUGUUUUGUGAAUGAGGCGUAAAGUUUGUAGGCCCCUUUGUGCCUUAUUUUGAAAGAAUAUGAAGCCAUUUGAUUGGAUUGUAUCAGCACUUUGAAUGUGUAUAUAUACCAAAACAUAUUUGUAUGAGAUGCUGUAGCUAUAGAAAUAUGACUGAUUGGUUUAAUUGUGCAAAAUGAACUCUUUGAAUAGG